rnacentral:rRNA from 1 species
AUCACUAAGCGGAGGAAAAGAAACUAACAAGGAUUCCCCUAGUAGCGGCGAGCGAACCGGGAGAAGCCCAGCUUGAAAAUCGCGUCGUUUCGGCGACGCGAGUUGUAGUCUGGAGAAGUGUCCUCUGCGGCGGACCCGGCUUAAGUCCCCUGGAAAGGGGCGUCAGAGAGGGUGAGAACCCCGUCGGGCCAGGACCCUGCCGCUCCACGAGGCGCUGUCGAUGAGUCGGGCUGUUUGGGAAUGCAGCCCUAAGCGGGAGGUAAAUUCCUUCCAAGGCUAAAUACAGGCGGGAGACCGAUAGCGAACAAGUACCGCGAGGGAAAGAUGAAAAGGACUUUGAAAAGAGAGUUAAAAAGUGCUUGAAAUUGCUGGGAGGGAAGCGAAUGGAGGCCUCGUGUGCGCCCCGGUCGGAUGCGGAACGGCGUGAGCUGGUCCGCCGCUCGACGCGGGGCGCUGGUCGGCGUGGGCUCCUCCGGCGGGACAAAAGUCAGCCUUUUGUGGCUGGCCGAUGCCGUCGAAGGGGCCGAGGAAACGAAGUGCGCGCCCCUCUGGGCGGGCUUCCCUUCGCGGGGGAGCACCUGCGCACUCGGGACGCCGGCGUAGUGGGCUU